UACGGGGGGAGCAAACGUUGUUCGGAAUCACUGGGCGUAAAGGGCGUGUAGGCGGCUGGAUAAGUGGGAUGUUAAAUCCCCCGGCUCAACCGGGGACCUGCAUCUCAUACUGUUCAGCUCGAGCACAUCAGAGGAGACUGGAAUUCCCGGUGUAGCGGUAAAAUGCGUAGAUAUCAGGAGGAACACCGGUGGCGAAGGCGGCUUUCUGGACAGAUACCGACGCUGAGGCACGAAAGCUAGGGGAGCAAACAGG
rnacentral:rRNA from 1 species